rnacentral:tRNA from 1 species
GUCUCCGUGGUCCAGUGGUUACGACGUUCGGCUGUUACUACCGAGAUAUCGGCGGUUCGAUCCCGCCCGGGGACG